ensembl:lncRNA novel transcript
AGGAGUUAGAACAUAGAGUGACCCAGGAAGCUCUCACCCAGCAGCAGCUGCAUUUUAUGAAAACAUCCAGGAUGGAGAAGCUCUUGGAAGAUGUGGGGCAAAAAGAACAGCAACUGCAGCUCCUUAGCAAAGAGGCUGAGAGGGCUUCUAAGCUGGGCCAACUGCAGCAGAAAAAAAUGAAGAGGGACCUCCACCAGAUGAGAAGCCGGCUUGCCCAGGAGCGCAGUGUGAAGCUGGAUGCUCUCCAGCGUGCAGAGGAGCUGCAGGGUCAGCUUCACGAUGCCCAGCGGUCAGCUGUCCCCAUGGGCUCGUCAGGCGAUACUCCCAGCAACGCUUUUUAAAGACUAAUCUCAAAGGCAGUAAAAUAACAAGAUGGAUUCAAAGGCCACAGACUGUACCUAUUAAACACAAAAAAAGAACUGACGAUGUUUUCCUACCCAAUAUGGCAGAAAAUGUUCAACUGACAGCUUUUCAGGUUCAAACAGCUCCAUCCAGAUUCCCAUUUAGAGCUGACUGGUGAUGAUAUCUUCUUUUUCCAACCUUUAUUUCUAUGAGUAUUUGAAUGAAUAAAAAUGACUCCAAAUGCCA